rnacentral:rRNA from 1 species
CAGCAGCCGCGGUAAUUCGGAGGGGGCUAGCGUUGUUCGGAAUUACUGGGCGUAAAGCGCACGUAGGCGGCUUGGUAAGUUAGAGGUGAAAGCCUGGAGCUCAACUCCAGAAUUGCCUUUAAGACUGCCGAGCUAGCAGGUGAGAGAGGUAAGUGGAAUUCCGAGUGUAGAGGUGAAAUUCGUAGAUAUUCGGAAGAACACCAGUGGCGAAGGCGGCUUACUGGCUCAUACUGGACGCUGAGGUGCGAAAGCGUGGGGAGCAAACAGGAUUAGAUACCCCCGUAGUCCCUGUCUCUUAUAC